rnacentral:tRNA from 1 species
GGUGGAGUGGCUCAAGUGGUAGAGUGCCUGCUUCAUAAGCAUGAGGCCCUGAUUUUAAACCUCAGUGCCAUCA